AAGACAUGGUGAGGAUAUUUUCUAAGGAUCCCCUUUAAUCUAUCCCAUCUCUCAUAAUAUAUUUUCCUUCUAAUCGAGUAAAAGAAGUAAUAACAUUUCUUAGUUU